AUUGAACGCUGGCGGCAGGCCUAACACAUGCAAGUCGAACGGUAACAGAAAGCAGCUUGCUGCUUUGCUGACGAGUGGCGGACGGGUGAGUAAUGUCUGGGAAACUGCCUGAUGGAGGGGGAUAACUACUGGAAACGGUAGCUAAUACCGCAUAACGUCGCAAGACCAAAGAGGGGGACCUUCGGGCCUCUUGCCAUCGGAUGUGCCCAGAUGGGAUUAGCUAGUAGGUGGGGUAACGGCUCACCUAGGCGACGAUCCCUAGCUGGUCUGAGAGGAUGACCAGCCACACGGGAACUGAGACACGGUCCAGACUCCUACGGGAGGCAGCAGUGGGAAAUAUUGCACAAUGGGCGCAAGCCUGAUGCAGCCAUGCCGCGUGUAUGAAGAAGGCCUUCGGGUUGUAAAGUACUUUCAGCGGGGAGGAAGGGAGUAAAGUUAAUACCUUUGCUCAUUGACGUUACCCGCAGAAGAAGCACCGGCUAACUCCGU
rnacentral:rRNA from 1 species